GCGGCUGGCGGGCGUCCGAGGGAGGGAGGGAGCGACGAGCGAGGUAGCGACGCGGGCCGCCCCUGCCGCCGCCGCCGCCGCCGCGGUCGGACCUGCGGCCUCCUCCCCUCCCCUCCCCUCUCCCGCGUCGCCCUGCCGCGGGGAGGGGGCUCGCGUCGCCGCCUCCAGCCGCUCCCGAUGAAGCAGCUGCAGCCGCAGCCGCCUCCGAAGAUGGGGGAUUUCUACGACCCGGAGCACCCGACCCCUGAAGAAGAAGAAAACGAGGCAAAGAUUGAAAAUGUGCAGAAAACAGGUUUCAUCAAAGGACCAAUGUUCAAAGGUGUUGCUUCUAGUCGAUUUUUGCCCAAAGGCACCAAAACAAAAGUUAAUUUGGAAGAACAGGGACGACAGAAGGUGUCAUUCAGCUUCAGCCUUACAAAGAAAACUUUGCAGAAUAGGUUUCUCACUGCACUUGGCAAUGAAAAGCAAAGUGAUACUCCAAACCCUCCAGCUGUACCUCUUCAGGUAGACUCGACUCCUAAAAUGAAAAUGGAAAUUGGUGAUACCUUACCUGCUGCAGAAGAAUCUUCCCCACCAAAGUCAAGGGUGGAAUUGGGCAAAAUUCAUUUUAAGAAACACCUGCUUCAUGUAACAUCCAGGCCACUGCUGGCUACUACCACAGCAGUAGCAUCUCCGCCUACUCAUGCAGCACCAUUACCAGCAGUGACAGCAGAAUCAACAACUGUAGACUCACCGCCCUCAUCUCCGCCUCCACCGCCUCCACCUUUCCAAGCCACAACACUCUCAUCACCAGCACCAGUAACAGAGCCAGUGGCCUUGCCACAUACACCAAUAACAGUUCUAAUGGCAGCACCAGUACCCUUACCAGUAGAUGUAGCAGUUAGAUCUCUGAAAGAACCACCAAUUAUAAUUGUACCAGAAUCUUUAGAAGCAGGUACUAAGCAGGACACUGUAUCUAAUAGUUCAGAAGAACACAUAAUUCAAAUAUUGAAUGAGCAAGCAGAUAUUUCCUCAAAAAAAGAAGAUUCCCAUAUUGGGAAGGAUGAAGAAAUUCCAGAUAGUUCUAAGAUUAAUCUGAGCUGUAAAAAAACAGGUUCUAAGAAGAAAUCCUCACAAUCUGAAGGCACCUUUCUUGGUUCAGAAUCUGAUGAAGAUUCUGUACGGACUUCUUCAAGUCAAAAAUCACAUGAUUUAAAAUUUUCAGCAAGCAUUGAAAAGGAAAGAGAUUUUAAAAAGAGCUCAGCACCUUUAAAAAGUGAGGAUCUAGGGAAAUCUUCACGAUCUAAAACAGACAGAGAUGAUAAAUAUUUUAGCUAUUCAAAACUUGAAAGAGAUACUCGGUAUGUAUCUUCCCGAUGUAGAUCAGAAAGAGAGCGACGGCGGAGCAGAUCUCAUUCUAGGUCUGAGAGAGGCUCUAGAACUAAUUUAUCCUAUUCCAGGUCAGAACGAUCUCAUUAUUAUGACUCUGAUCGUCGCUACCAUAGGAGCUCCCCUUAUCGAGAGAGGACACGCUAUUCUCGGCCAUACGCAGAUAACAGAGCACGAGAGAGUUCUGACUCAGAAGAAGAGUAUAAGAAGACAUACUCAAGGCGUACCUCAUCUCAUUCCUCUUCUUACAGAGACCUAAGGACAUCAUCCUAUUCUAAAUCUGAUCGGGACUGUAAAACUGAGACCUCUUACUUAGAGAUGGAAAGAAGAGGCAAGUAUUCUUCAAAACUAGAAAGAGAAUCUAAAAGGACUUCAGAAAAUGAAGCAAUUAAAAGAUGUUGUUCUCCCCCUAAUGAACUGGGAUUCCGACGAGGGUCAUCAUAUUCUAAGCACGACAGUAGUGCUUCCCGUUAUAAGUCUACCCUUUCAAAACCUAUACCCAAGUCUGAUAAAUUUAAAAAUUCUUUCUGUUGUACAGAAUUAAAUGAAGAAAUGAAACAGUCUCAUUCUUUUAGUUUACAGACACCUUGUUCAAAAGGUAGUGAAUUAAGAAUGAUUAAUAAAAAUCCUGAAAGAGAAAAGGCUGGGUCUCCAGCUCCAUCAAAUCGAUUAAAUGAUUCACCUACUUUAAAAAAGCUAGAUGAGUUGCCUAUUUUUAAGUCUGAAUUUAUAACACAUGAUAGCCAUGAUGGUAUUAAGGAAUUAGACUCUUUAUCUAAAGUGAAGAAUGAUCAAUUAAGAAGUUUUUGUCCCAUAGAAUUAAAUAUAAAUGGAUCUCCUGGGGCAGAAUCUGAUUUGGCAACAUUUUGCACUUCUAAAACUGAUGCUGUUUUAAUGACUUCUGAUGAUAGUGUGACUGGAUCGGAGUUAUCCCCUUUGGUCAAAGCAUGCAUGCUUUCGUCAAAUGGAUUUCAGAAUGUUAGUAGAUGCAAAGAAAAAGACUUGGAUGAUACAUGCAUGCUGCAUAAGAAGUCAGAAAGCCCAUUUAGAGAAACAGAACCUCUGGUGUCACCACACCAAGAUAAACUCAUGUCUUUGCCAGUUAUGACUAUAGAUUAUUCCAAAACAGUAGUUAAAGAACCAGUUGAUACGAGGGUUUCUUGCUGCAAAACCAAAGAUUCAGACAUAUACUGUACUUCGAACGAUAGCAACCCUUCUUUGUGUAACUCCGAAGCUGAAAAUAUUGAGCCUUCGGUUAUGAAGAUUUCUUCAAAUAGCUUUAUGAAUAUGCAUUUGGAAUCAAAACCAGUUAUAUGUGAUAGUAGAAAUUUGACAGAUCACUCAAAAUUUGCAUGUGAAGAAUAUAAGCAGAGCAUCGGUAGCACUAGUUCAGCUUCUGUUAAUCAUUUUGAUGAUUUAUAUCAACCUAUUGGGAGUUCCGGUAUUGCUUCAUCUCUUCAGAGUCUUCCACCGGGAAUAAAGGUGGACAGUCUAACUCUCUUGAAAUGCGGAGAGAACACAUCUCCAGUUCUGGAUGCAGUGCUAAAGAGUAAAAAAAGUUCAGAGUUUUUAAAGCAUGCAGGGAAAGAAACAAUAGUAGAAGUAGGUAGUGACCUUCCUGAUUCAGGAAAAGGAUUUGUUUCCAGGGAGAACAGGCGUAAUAAUGGGUUAUCUGGGAAAUGUUUGCAAGAGGCUCAAGAAGAAGGGAAUUCCAUAUUGCCUGAAAGAAGAGGAAGACCAGAAAUCUCUUUAGAUGAAAGAGGAGAAGGAGGACGUGUGCAUACUUCUGAUGACUCAGAAGUUGUAUUUUCUUCUUGUGAUUUGAAUUUAACCGUGGAAGACAGUGAUGGUGUAACUUAUGCAUUAAGGUGUGACAGUAGUGGUCAUGCCCCAGAAAUUGUGUCUACUGUUCAUGAAGAUUAUUCUGGCUCUUCUGAAAGUUCAAAUGAUGAAAGUGAUUCAGAAGAUACAGAUUCGGAUGAUAGCAGUAUUCCAAGAAACCGUCUCCAGUCUGUUGUGGUUGUGCCAAAGAAUUCUACUUUGCCCAUGGAAGAAACAAGUCCUUGUUCUUCUCGGAGCAGUCAAAGUUAUAGACACUAUUCUGACCAUUGGGAAGACGAGAGAUUGGAGUCAAGGAGACAUUCUUAUGAGGAAAAAUUUGAAAGUAUAGCAAGUAAAGCCUGUCCUCAAACUGAUAAGUUUUUCCUUCAUAAAGGAACAGAGAAGAAUCUGGAAAUUUCUUUUACACAGUCCAGUAGAAAACAAAUAGAUAACCACCUGCCUGAACUUUCUCAUCCUCAGAGUGAUGGGGUUGAUAGUACAAGUCAUACAGAUGUGAAAUCUGACCCUCUGGGUCACCCAAAUUCAGAGGAAACCGUGAAAGCCAAAAUAUCUUCUAGGCAGCAAGAAGAGCUGCCAAUUUAUUCUUCUGAUUUUGAAGAUGUCCCAAAUAAGUCUUGGCAACAGGCCACUUUCCAAAACAGGCCAGAUAGUAGACUGGGAAAAACAGAAUUGAGUUUUUCUUCCUCUUGUGAGAUAUCACGUGUGGAUGUCUUGCACUCAUCAGAAGAGCUCAGAAACUUAGGUUGGGACUUCUCUCAAGAAAAGCCUUCUACUACAUAUCAACAACCUGACAGUAGCUAUGGAGCUUGUGGUGGACACAAGUAUCAGCAAAAUACAGAACAGUAUGGUGGGACACGUGAUUACUGGCAAGGCAAUGGUUACUGGGAUCCAAGACCAGGUAGACCUCCUGGAACUGGGGUUGUGUAUGAUCGAACUCAAGGACAAGUACCAGAUUCCCUAACAGAUGAUCGUGAAGAAGAGGAGAAUUGGGAUCAACAGGAUGGAUCCCAUUUUUCAGACCAGUCCAAUAAAUUUCUUCUAUCCCUUCAGAAAGACAAGGGGUCAGUGCAAGCACCCGAAAUAAGUAGCAAUUCCAUUAAGGACACUUUAGCUGUGAAUGAAAAGAAAGAUUUUUCAAAAAACUUAGAAAAAAAUGAUAUCAAAGAUAGAGGGCCUCUUAAGAAAAGGAGGCAGGAAAUAGAGAGUGAUUCUGAAAGUGAUGGUGAGCUUCAGGACAGAAAGAAAGUUAGAGUGGAGGUAGAGCAGGGAGAGACAUCAGUGCCCCCAGGCUCAGCACUGGUUGGGCCCUCCUGUGUCAUGGAUGACUUCAGGGACCCACAGCGAUGGAAGGAAUGUGCCAAGCAAGGGAAAAUGCCUUGUUACUUUGAUCUUAUUGAAGAAAAUGUUUAUUUAACAGAAAGAAAGAAGAAUAAAUCUCAUCGAGAUAUUAAGCGAAUGCAGUGUGAGUGUACACCUCUUUCUAAAGAUGAAAGAGCUCAAGGUGAAAUAGCAUGUGGGGAAGAUUGUCUUAAUCGUCUUCUCAUGAUUGAAUGUUCUUCUCGGUGUCCAAAUGGGGAUUAUUGUUCCAAUAGACGGUUUCAGAGAAAACAGCAUGCAGAUGUGGAAGUCAUACUCACAGAAAAGAAAGGCUGGGGCUUGAGAGCUGCCAAAGACCUUCCUUCGAACACCUUUGUCCUAGAAUAUUGUGGAGAGGUACUCGAUCAUAAAGAGUUUAAAGCUCGAGUGAAGGAGUAUGCACGAAACAAAAACAUCCAUUACUAUUUCAUGGCCCUGAAGAAUGAUGAGAUAAUAGAUGCCACUCAAAAAGGAAACUGCUCUCGUUUCAUGAAUCACAGCUGUGAACCAAACUGUGAAACCCAAAAAUGGACUGUGAACGGACAACUGAGGGUUGGGUUUUUUACCACCAAACUGGUUCCUUCAGGCUCAGAGUUAACGUUUGACUAUCAGUUUCAGAGAUAUGGAAAAGAAGCCCAGAAAUGUUUCUGCGGAUCAGCCAAUUGCCGGGGUUACCUGGGAGGAGAAAACAGAGUCAGCAUCAGAGCAGCAGGAGGGAAAAUGAAGAAGGAACGAUCUCGUAAGAAGGAUUCAGUGGAUGGAGAGCUAGAAGCUCUGAUGGAAAAUGGUGAGGGUCUUUCUGAUAAAAACCAGGUGCUCAGCUUAUCCCGGCUAAUGGUUAGAAUUGAAACUUUGGAGCAGAAACUUACCUGUCUGGAACUCAUACAGAACACACACUCACAAUCCUGCCUGAAGUCAUUUCUGGAACGUCAUGGGCUGUCUUUGUUGUGGAUCUGGAUGGCAGAGCUAGGUGACGGCCGGGAAAGUAACCAGAAGCUUCAGGAAGAGAUUAUAAAGACUUUGGAACACUUGCCCAUUCCUACUAAAAAUAUGUUGGAGGAAAGCAAAGUACUUCCAAUUAUUCAACGCUGGUCUCAGACUAAGACUGCUGUCCCUCCGUUGAGUGAAGGAGAUGGGUAUUCUAGUGAGAAUACAUCGCGUGCUCACACACCACUCAACACACCUGAUCCUUUCACCAAGCUGAGCACAGAGGCUGACACAGACACUCCCAAGAAACUAAUGUUUCGCAGACUGAAAAUUAUAAGUGAAAAUAGCAUGGACAGUGCAAUCUCUGAUGCAACCAGUGAGCUAGAAGGCAAGGAUGGCAAAGAGGAUCUUGAUCAAUUAGAAAAUGUCCCUGUAGAGGAAGAGGAAGAAUUGCAGUCACAACAGCUACUCCCACAACAGCUGCCUGAAUGCAAAGUUGAUAGUGAAACCAACGUAGAAGCUAGUAAGCUACCUACAUCUGAACCGGAAGCUGACGCUGAAAUAGAGCCCAAAGAGAGCAAUGGCACAAAACUAGAAGAACCUAUUAAUGAAGAAACACCAUCCCAAGAUGAAGAGGAGGGUGUGUCUGAUGUGGAGAGUGAAAGGAGCCAAGAACAGCCAGAUAAAACAGUGGAUAUAAGUGAUUUGGCCACCAAACUCCUGGACAGUUGGAAAGACCUAAAGCUUCUCAGGGCAGCAAGGAGCUUGUUAACAUCACCAGCUGACCAUGUGUCUCCUUUUCUCAACUCCAUUUCCAACUUCGUGCUGAAGAAAAACGAGAACCUAGCGUGCAUUCUGUGAAGAAACAGGAAGAUGGUUGGGAAGUUGGAUGAUGCAUGAAAAAUAUAAUAGGAGGUAUAUCGAAUUCCAAAGAAAAGUCAAACCGAAAAGGAGAACACAACAACUGAACGAGGAAGGGAUGCUGUUGGCUUCAGAGAUCAAACACCUGCCCCGAAGACUCCUAAUAGGUCAAGAGAGAGAGACCCAGACAAGCAAACUCAAAAUAAAGAGAAAAGGAAACGAAGAAGCUCCCUCUCACCACCCUCUUCUGCCUAUGAGCGGGGAACAAAAAGGCCAGAUGACAGAUAUGAUACACCAACUUCUAAAAAGAAAGUACGAAUUAAAGACCGCAAUAAACUUUCUACAGAGGAACGCCGGAAGUUGUUUGAGCAAGAGGUGGCUCAACGGGAGGCUCAGAAACAACAGCAACAGAUGCAGAACCUGGGAAUGACAUCACCACUGCCCUAUGACUCUCUUGGUUAUAAUGCCCCGCAUCAUCCCUUUGCUGGUUACCCACCAGGUUAUCCCAUGCAGGCCUAUGUGGAUCCCAGCAACCCUAAUGCUGGAAAGGUGCUCCUGCCCACACCCAGCAUGGACCCAGUGUGUUCUCCUGCUCCUUAUGAUCAUGCUCAGCCCUUGGUGGGACAUUCUACAGAACCCCUUUCUGCCCCUCCACCAGUACCAGUGGUGCCACAUGUGGCAGCUCCUGUGGAAGUUUCCAGUUCCCAGUAUGUGGCCCAGAGUGAUGGUGUAGUACACCAAGACUCCAGCGUUGCUGUCUUGCCAGUGCCAGCCCCUGGUCCAGUUCAGGGACAGAAUUAUAGUGUUUGGGAUUCAAACCAACAGUCUGUCAGUGUACAGCAGCAGUACUCUCCUGCACAGUCUCAAGCAACCAUAUAUUAUCAAGGACAGACAUGUCCAACAGUCUAUGGUGUGACAUCACCUUAUUCACAGACAACUCCACCAAUUGUACAGAGUUAUGCCCAGCCAAGUCUUCAGUAUAUCCAGGGGCAACAGAUUUUCACAGCUCAUCCACAAGGAGUGGUGGUACAGCCAGCCGCAGCAGUGACUACAAUAGUUGCACCAGGGCAGCCUCAGCCCUUGCAGCCUUCUGAAAUGGUUGUGACAAAUAAUCUCUUAGAUCUGCCGCCCCCAUCUCCUCCCAAACCAAAAACCAUUGUCUUACCUCCCAACUGGAAGACAGCCCGAGAUCCAGAAGGGAAGAUUUAUUAUUACCAUGUGAUCACAAGGCAGACUCAGUGGGAUCCUCCUACUUGGGAAAGCCCAGGAGAUGAUGCCAGCCUUGAGCAUGAAGCUGAGAUGGACCUGGGAACUCCAACAUAUGAUGAAAACCCCAUGAAGGCCUCAAAAAAGCCCAAGACAGCAGAAGCAGACACCUCCAGUGAACUAGCAAAGAAAAGCAAAGAAGUAUUCAGAAAAGAGAUGUCCCAGUUCAUCGUCCAGUGCCUGAACCCUUACCGGAAACCUGACUGCAAAGUGGGAAGAAUUACCACAACUGAAGACUUUAAACAUCUGGCUCGCAAGCUGACUCACGGUGUUAUGAAUAAGGAGCUGAAGUACUGUAAGAAUCCUGAGGACCUGGAGUGCAAUGAGAAUGUGAAACACAAAACCAAGGAGUACAUUAAGAAGUACAUGCAGAAGUUUGGGGCUGUUUACAAACCCAAAGAGGACACUGAAUUAGAGUGACUGUUGGGCCAGGGUGGGAGGAUGGGUGGUCAGGUAAGACAGACUCUAGGGAGAGGAAAUCCUGUGGGCCUUUCUGUCCCAUCCCUGUCAGCACUGUGCUACUGAUGACACAUCACCCUGGGGAAUUCAACCCUGCAGAUGUCAACCGAAGGCCACAAAAAUGAACUCCAUCUACAAGUGAUUACCUAGUUGUGAGCUGUUGGCAUGCGGUUAGAAGCCAUCAGAGGUGCAAGGGCUUAGAAAAGACCCUGGCCAGACCUGACUCCACUCUUAAACCUGGGUCUCCUCCUUGGCGGUGCUGUCAGCGCACAGACCCAUGCGCAUCCCCACCCACAACCCUUUACCCUGAUGAUCUGUAUUAUAUUUUAAUGUAUAUGUGAAUAUAUUGAAAAUAAUUUUUUUCCUGGUUUUUGUUUGGUUUUCGUUUUGCUUUUAGCCUCUACAUGCUAGGAUCACAGGAAGACUUUGUAAGGACAGUUUAAGUUCUCCUGCAAGGUUUAAUUUGUUAUCAUGUAAAUAUUCCAAAGCAGGCUGCCUUGUGGUUUUGGCCAGCCUUGUGCUAUGUUGAUAAGAUUGAUUUACUGCUUAAAAUCACUUUACUUUAUCCAAUUUUUACUGAACUUUUUAUGUAAAAAAAUAAAAUCAAUUAAAGAACUUGG